ensembl:lncRNA
ACAUCAAAAGCUGUAACUUCAGCAUCCACAGCUCUCACUUCAACAACAGUGCCUGCAUCUUCAGAAACAACUGCACCUGUAACAACUUCAGUAACUACAGCAUCCUCAACUACUGAAAUUCCUACAACCACAGUUGUGAGUACAGAAACCACACCUAUUACUUCAACAGUGGUGCAUUCAACUUCAGAAAGUACAACACUAGAAACCACGACUACAGCUUCAUCAUCCACACCUGCAACAACAAACAAUCCAACAACAUCAACAGUUGUACCUUCAGAAUCCACAACUCUCACUUCAACAACAUUGCCUACAUCUUCAGAAACAACUGCACCUGUAAAAACAUCAGUAACUACAGCAUCCUCAACUUCUGAAAUUCCCACAAGCACAGUUGUGAGUAAAGAAACCACACCUAUUACUUCAACAGUGGUGCCUACAACUUCAGAGAGUACAACAGCAGAAACCACGACUACAGCUUCAUCAUCCACACCUGCAACAACAAACAAUCCAACAACAUCAACAGUUAUACCUUCAGAAUCCUCAACUCUCACUUCAACAACAUUGCCUACAUCUUCAGAAACAACUGCACCUGUAACAACUUCAGUAACUAAAGCAUCCUCAACUAUCAAAAUUUCCACAACCACAGCUGUGAGUACAGAAACCACACCUAUUACUUCAACAGUGUUGCCCACAACUUUGAAGAGUACAACAGCUGAAACCAUGACUACAGCUUCAUCAACCACACCUACAAAAACGAACAAUCCAACAACAUCAACAUUUGUAACUUCUGAAUCUACAACUCCUACUUCAACAGUUAUAGCUACAUCUUCAGAAACAACUACACCUCUAACAAAAUCAGUAACUACAGCAUCCUCAACUACUGAAAUUCCCACAACCACAGUUGUGAGUACUGAAUCCAUAACUCUUACUUCAACAGCUAAGCCUACAUCUUCAGAAUCUACUGCAACUGUAACAUCAGUAACUACAGUAUCCUCAAAAACCUAUAUUCCCACAACCACGGUUGUGAGAACAGAAACCACACCUAUCAUUUCGACAGUGGUGCCUACAACUUCAGAGAGUACAACGGCAGAAGCUAUGACUACGGCUUCAUCAACUAUAUUUACAGCAAAGAACACUCCAACAACAUCAACAGCUGUAACUUCAGAAUCCUCAACUCUCACUUCAACAACAGUGCCUACAUCUUCAGAAACAACUGCACCUGUAACAACAUCAGUAACUACAGCUUCCUCACCUACAACUGUACCUUCCUCUAUGACAUCAGCUCCAAUGUCAUCUGAAGCUCCAAGUACAACAACAUCUAAAACCACAUUGCUGCUUGCAACCACAUCUACUGGAGCUCUCACAUCCACUGUUGUGACUUCAGGAGCAACAACUCUUACGUCUACAACAAUGCCUACAACAUCAGAAAGUACAACUACACCUGCAGCAAGCACAACUGCAGCUUCCACAGCCACAGUGGGGCCAUCCACUACUGUGACUACAGCUUCCGAAAUUACAACUGCAUCUUCAACAUCUACAGCUUCCUCAGCUGCGAUAGUGCAUUCUACUACUACAUCAUCAUCUCCAACCUCAUCUGAAUCUCGAGGUACAGCAACUAAUUAUCCAACAACAUCAACAGCUGUAAUUUCAACAACAAUGGCUACAUCUUCAGAAACAUCUGCACCUGUAACAACAUCAGUAACUACAGCUUCCUCAUCUAUAAAUGUACCUUCCUCUAUGACAUCAGCUCCAAUGUCAUCUGAAGCUCCAAGUGCAACAACAGCUCAAACCACAAUGCCACUUGCACCUGCAACUACUGAAACACUCACAAUCACCAAAAUGACUUCAGAAACCACAACUGCACCAACAACAUCGAUAACUACAACGUCCACAACUACCACUGUAGCUUCAACGACAACAGCAGCUUCUCUUGCAACAACCACAACUACAGCUUCCAUCACCACAACCAUUCCUUCCACUUCUACAUCAGAUCAAACCACACCUAAGGCUGCAAGUACAACAUCAAAAGGUCCGAACACAAAUUCAGAAAGUAUAACUUCACCUGCUGUAACCACAGAUUCCACAACCAUGAUGGAAUAUUCAACUACUACAUCAAGUUUAACCCCAGCCACAACUACUGAAACCUCAACUCUUACUUCACCAACAAUGUCUACAACUUCAGAAAGUACUCCUGCACCUGCAACAUCCACCAUUACAGCUUCCUCUUCUACGAAUAACUAUCCCACAACAGAAAAUCCAUCUCAAACCUCAACUUCAAUUCCAGGCACAAACACACCUACAGCGGCAACAACAACUGCAUUCCGAAUAACAACUGCACCUCUAUCAACCACAACUAUUGCUUUCACUAAUACAGCUCCAGCUCUAAGCCAAGCAGGACUCCUUACCACAACAAAUGCACCUCCAAUUAUCACAACUGUGUCUCCGGAGACUGUAACUAUUGCUGUAACAAUUAUGCCUAUCUCAUCAUCACAUGUAACUAUAUCCCCAACUUUAACUCCAAUAAAAACAACUGAACCUCCAAGAACCCCAACUACACCCAUUACAACCAUGACUGUUCUUCCCACCACUACAGUUCCAGCUGAUAUCUCAACUACAGCUCCAACCACAACAACAGCCACUAUUCCAAGUUCAACUGCAGCUCAAACAACAACUGCAUUUCAAGUAACAACAGGAGAUCUUUUAAGAACAACUGUAGCUUUUACCAACACAUCUUCUGCUCCAGCCACACUUGCACUUUCAACCAAAACAACUCCAAUCCCAAACAUGGAUUCAGAAACUACAACUGCAUCAACAACUACAACUGGAAUUAAUACAGGUCUCACCAGUGCAGCAGAAUUUCCAAUAGCUCCAAUAACAUCAGUUUCAAACACAAAUGCAUCAACAUCCCCAGCAUCUACAAUUCCAAGUCAAUCAUCAAUCAAAACAACACCAGCUGAAACUCUUUCUAGCAAUACUACACCUCUAAACAAUGCAACAAAAGCAGAUGCAUCUGCAACACUUCAAAGUACUUCAAGUUUGCAACCAGAAACUUCAAACAUACCCAAAACAUUGUCAACAAAUGUGACUGGUGCAGCAACAGUCACAACCAUAUUGGUAUUCUCAUCCUUGUCGUCAGUGCCCAAUGAAAAUUUGGUCCUAGGUGCUAUCAGUACUCUUCUGGAAUCUAGACAGUCCCAACUCAAUGGAUCACUGAAGAUUGUAAAAUUUACUUAUCAGAAAAUCUCAGAAACCUCCUAUGCUGUGGUCUUUACAUUUAACGUGAUUAACAUCAGCAUGCCAGAGGACCCUGUGUCUAGAGGCAACACCAACCAGAAAGUGCAGGAUACCAUCAAUAAUGCGCUGAACACUCUUCUGAAUGAACCUGGAAGUCCAACUUUACAACCAAAGUCCUCCAACUUCACAAGCACUUCAAACCAGAUUGAUGGCAGGAUGGAAUACAGCUUCCAGGAUGGAGAUGUCAUACAACCAGUCAGCUUCCUCAAUGAGCUACGUCUACCAACCACUACAACAGUGUUUCCAGAAACAACAACCAGUGUUUCUGUUACUACUCCAAACCUCAUAUCUGGUUCAGCAGUGGUCACAAGCAAGCUGGUGUUCAACUCCUCAUCUCCAGUCCCCAGUGAAUCUCUAGUCCUCAAUGCAAUCAAAACUCUGCGUAAUUCCAGAGAGUCACAGCUCAAUGAAUCGGUGAAGGUGGUGAAUGUCACCUAUGAGAAGAUCUCAGAAACCUCCUAUGCUGUGGUCUUUACAUUUAACGUGAUUAACAUCAGCAUGCCAGAGGACCCUGUGUCUAGAGGCAACACCAACCAGAAAGUGCAGGAUACCAUCAAUAAUGCGCUGAACACUCUUCUGAAUGAACCUGGAAGUCCAACUUUACAACCAAAUUCCUCCAACUUCACUAGCACUUCAAACCAGAUUGAUGGCAGGAUGGAAUACACCUUCCAGGAUGGAGAUGUCAUACAACCAGUCAGCUUCCUCAAUGAGCUACGUCUACCAACCACUACAACAGUGUUUCCCGAAACAACAUUUGGUUUCUCUGUGACUCCUUCAAACCUCAUAUCUGGUUCAGCAGUGGUCACAAGCAAGCUGGUGUUCAACUCCUCAUCUCCAGUCCCCAGUGAAUCUCUAGUCCUCAAUGCAAUCAAAACUCUGCGUAAUUUCAGAGAGUCACAGCUCAAUGAAUUGGUGAAGGUGGUGAAUGUCACCUAUGAGAAAAUCUCAGAAACCUCCUAUGCUGUGGUCUUUACAUUUAACGUGAUUAACAUCAGCAUGCCAGAGGACCCUGUGUCUAGAGGCAACACCAACCAGAAAGUGCAGGAUACCAUCAAUAAUGCGCUGAACACUCUUCUGAAUGAACCUGGAAGUCCAAAUUUACAACCCAAGUCAUCAAACUUCACAAGCACUUCAAACCAGAUUGAUGGCAGGAUGGAAUACAGCUUCCAGGAUGGAGAUGUCAUACAACCAGUCAGCUUCCUCAAUGAGCUACGUCUACCAACCACUACAACAGUGUUUCCAGAAACAACAACCAGUGUUUCUGUUACUACUUCAAACCUCAUAUCUGGUUCAGCAGUGGUCACAAGCAAGCUGGUGUUUCAACUCCUCAUCUCCAGUCCCCAGUGAAUCUCUGGUCCUCAAUGCAAUCAAAACUCUGCGUAAUUCCAGAGAGUCACAGCUCAAUGAAUCGGUGAAGGUGGUGAAUGUCACCUAUGAGAAAAUGUCAGAAACCUCCUAUGCUGUGGUCUUUACAUUUAACGUAAUUAACAUCAGCAUGCCAAAGGAACCUGUGUCUAGAGGCAACACCAACCAGAAAGUGCAGGAUACCAUCAAUAAAGCGCUGAAUACUCUUCUGAAUGAACCUGGAAGUCCAACUUUUCAACCAAAGUCAUCAAACUUCACAAGCACUUCAAACCAGAUUGAUGGCAGAAUGGAAUACACCUUCCAGGAUGGAGAUGUCAUACAACCAGUCAGCUUCCUCAAUGAGCUUCGUUCACAGACAGUCUUAACGACAGCCAGCACUCUGACAACUACUCCACUGAUAGUGCGUGGCAAAGCGCUUAUAUUCAUUCGCCUCGUGUUUGUCACACUGGGCCCCCUGCCAAAUCCAGAGAAGGUUCUUGAGGUGGCCAACACUCUGCUUCAGACGCGUCUCAAAACUAAACAAGACACCAGUACUCAAGACCUGAGUGAUCCUGUGAGCUUUGUCAAUGUCACAUAUACAAAAAUAAAUGAGACGGCCUAUGCUCUCAACUUUGGAUUUGAAAUCAGCAAUAUAACCAUGACAGAGAAGCUUGAACUCAGGAAUGGCACCCACCUGUUAAUACAAGACUCUAUAAACUCAUUGCUGGGCAAGAUCCUUCUCAGUAACUCAUCAGCGCCUAUCAUUAAGUUCCAACCAGCUGAUUUCACGGGUAAUUCCACAGUAAUUAAGGCCAAUGUAGAGUAUGUUUUCUCACCAAGUGACAUCACGCAACCCAGCAUCUUUGUUCAGGAACUUCUCCAACUUAAUGAAGCGAGCACUCUGACAAGCACAACUUCACCACCGAUCUUGACUAGGAGGGCAAUUAUUAAGAUUCGUCUGGAGUUUAUCACACUGGGCCCAAGACCAAGUGAGAGUAAUGUUCUACAGGUGGUUAAAUCUAUGCUGGCCACAAAUCUCACAACUAAACUAACCACGAGAGUAACAAGCGUGAGCGAACCUGUGACCUUGAAUAAUGUUGUGUAUAUCGGAAUUAAUGACACCGCCUACGCACUGAUUUUUGCAUUCGAAAUGAACAAAGUAUUACUGACAGAGAUACAAAGGCAAGAAGCCUACAAAGAAAUCCAAAACAAGAUAAAUGAUUUGGUGAAGCAGAUACUAAAGGACCCCUCGGUUAAUCUGCUCAUUCCAGCCGAUUUCAAGGAUGAUCUCCUUGUGAUCGAGGCCAAUGUUACGUAUGUUUUCUCAGAACGUAACAGUAACACGGGCUCCGGUUUCUUGGUCAGUGCCCUUUUCAAGGCUUUUACCACACCAGCUCCAACCACCAUGAACACUACAAUCUCAAACAACAGUACUAAUGCAGCAUGGAUUGUGGCUAUCAUUGUCCCCUGUGCUAUUGUCAUCGGGCUCGUACCUUGCUGGAUUCUCCUUUGCUGUUUGCUGUGUGGUUGCUGUGCAGCAAUCAGAAGACGCUGGCACAGAAGACAGUCGUACAAUGUGCAGUACACCACUCGAAACAGUCUCUUCUAAAGAGUUCUGAGAUAUUUGACAAAAGCAGGACUGAAAACCAAUGAGAACAUAAAAAUCAUGGAUUUUGGAUAUUCAAUAUGCUAUCAAUACUGCUUCUUUUGUAGUAUUGAAAGUACUAUGUUAAUGCUUCUUUAUAAACUAUUUAUUUUAUUAUCCUAGACAAACAGGUCCUCCAUAAAAUAUUCCUUAAUGUGACAUUUUAAUACGUCCUAUAGUCUAUAAUGAAAUUGUAUUAUUGUUAUUUAUUUGUAUUUAUUUGUAAUAUUCUGUUUAUGUUUACAGUUAAUCUUUUGCAAAUCAUUAAUCUGCUUGACAUUACACAUUUUAAUUUAAAGGGAC